GCUGAUGGAAUAUGGCACAAGAAUAAUUCCAAGCAAGGUUUUCUGCAACAGUACAAUGUGGAGUGACUUCUCAUUGCCUCUUCACUUGAGGAAGGAGGAUUUGUGGAUGGAGCCAAAGGCUCAUGAAAAAGCUGGAUUUCAAGGAGACAUCUGAAGAAACAGGUUGCUUCGUAGAUGAGAAACAGAGGUAUGGCACUAGGAGGACAGAGGGCAGAGGAGAAGAUUUCUGCAAUCAAGCCCAAUAUGGAAUAAAUAAUAAAUUAGAA